CAUGACAAAAACCUCCUCACUGCUCACACUCACUUCUGCUUUCACACAACACCAGAAAGAACAAAAACCUCAACUUCAAAUCAUUGGAACUGAAGUGGAAACUCACUUAAUGUUCACUGAAGACACUUUGAAUUCUUCACAUGUAAAGAUCACAGAUACGAUCUGGUGUCAGUGUGAACGGUAACUGGUAGAAACUGGUUCCAGGAGCAGUCACAGCUGGUCCUUAGGGGCAGGAGUGACUGAUCAUAAUUACACCAAGUUUGGAUCAGGUUGAACACAGGACACAUCUGUUCAGCAACAGUUCCUCAGUGUGAGUUGAUCAGAGCUGAAGAUCUCGUGCAUGUUCUUCAGUGAUUCUUCUCCUGUUCACAUUUCUUCUUCAUGUUGCACCAGUGGAGUCUUCAAACAGAGACGUCCAGCAGGAAUGGAUCAAAUUCAGGCUUCAUGCUGCUUAAUAAAAUUCUACUGGAUGGA